rnacentral:rRNA from 1 species
GACGAACGCUGGCGGCGUGCUUAACACAUGCAAGUCGAACGGUAAGGCCCUUCGGGGUACACGAGUGGCGAACGGGUGAGUAACACGUGGGUGAUCUGCCCUGCACUUCGGGAUAAGCCUGGGAAACUGGGUCUAAUACCGGAUAGGACCACUGCCUGCAGGGGAGGUGGUGGAAAGCUUUUGCGGUGUGGGAUGGGCCCGCGGCCUAUCAGCUUGUUGGUGGGGUGAUGGCCUACCAAGGCGACGACGGGUAGCCGGCCUGAGAGGGUGACCGGCCACACUGGGACUGAGAUACGGCCCAGACUCCUACGGGAGGCAGCAGUGGGGAAUAUUGCACAAUGGGCGCAAGCCUGAUGCAGCGACGCCGCGUGAGGGAUGACGGCCUUCGGGUUGUAAACCUCUUUCAGCACCGACGAAGCGCAAGUGACGGUAGGUGCAGAAGAAGGACCGGCCAACUACGUGCCAGCAGCCGCCGUAA